rnacentral:rRNA from 1 species
CUGCGGAAGGAUCAUUAAAUAUAUCUGGGAUACCAAAGUGUUCCCUGAUCUAAACCCUCUCUGCGUACUCAUCCAUGUUGCUUUCCCAGGGAAUUGGUUCCUGUAACCAUUUUAAUCCUUCCAGCUAGCAGAGUCAACCUCACUAUGCAGGUCCCUGGGAAAGGGCUAAUCUAAAUUGAAUCAUUAAAUCAGCUGUCUGAUCUGGCCCCGUGCCACAAAUCUUUGAAUAAGUUAAAACUUUCAACAACGGAUCUCUUGGCUCUCACAUCGAUGAAGAACGCAGCGAAAUGCGAUAAGUAAUGUGAAUUGCAGAAUUCAGUGAAUCAUCGAAUCUUUGAACGCACAUUGCGCCCCUUGGUAUUCCUUGGGGCAUGCCUGUUCGAGCGUCACUACAAACCCACUCAUAAACAUUAUGGUAAUGGUAGAAGUGAAGCGAGGCUACUAUGUAUGCCUUGGUCACUCUGCUGAAAUGAAUAGGCAGGACAAUCAACCUCUGCGAUAGACUUAUUAAUUGUUUUGAAAGCAAAAACCAGUCUCUUGCUCGGUUCUGGCCUGGCUCCCAUGGACCUCCAUGAAAGAUAAACAUUGGGUUGACCUCGGAUCAGGUAGGGAUACCCGCUGAACUUAAGCAUAUCAAUAAGCGGA